rnacentral:tRNA from 1 species
UGGCUCAGUGGUAGAGUGCUUGCCUCAUAUGCAUGAGGCUCUGGGUUCGAUUCCUCAG